CAAGGACAGAGAGUGAAGCCAUCAGGUUUUGAGCAGCAGCAGCAAUCUGUUCGCAUCCUUAACACAGGACUGACAAAUCAACGUCAAUCACUUGCUGUCCUGGUGCUGUAGUUUUGGCAGUAUUUCCUGUUUGGUCCCGCAUCCUUGGGGUCACGCCGAAGCAACGUUCACCACCCCGUGACAGAAAUGAUCCAACCACCUCCAACCCAUCCCUGUCAUGUGUUGGCUUCUCUGGGGACGUCUUGGAUCCGUCCCUUGGGUGGGCGGGGCGGGGGCUAUGCGUAGCUUUGCAGCUGGAGAGGCACAGCUACUUC